ACGGCUCAGUAACACGUAGACAACCUACCCUUAGGACAGGUAUAAACCCGGGAAACUGGGUAUAAUCCCUGAUAGUCCUCGACUGCUGGAAUGCAUCGAGGCCGAAAGCUCCGGCGCCUAAGGAUGGGUCUGCGGCCUAUCAGGUAGUAGUGGGUCUAAAGUACCUACUAGCCUACGACGGGUACGGGUUGUGAGAGCAAGAGCCCGGAGAUGGAUUCUGAGACACGAAUCCAGGCCCUACGGGGUGCAGCAGGCGCGAAAACUUUACAAUGCCGGCAACGGCGAUAAGGGGACCUCGAGUGCCAGGUUACAAAUCUGGCUGUCGUGAUGCCUAAAAAGCAUUGCAUAGCAAGGGCCGGGCAAGACCGGUGCCAGCCGCCGCGGUAACACCGGCGGCUCGAGUGGUAACCGUUAUUAUUGGGUCUAAAGGGUCUGUAGCCGGCCGGAUAAGUCUCUUGGGAAAUCCAGCAGCUCAACUGUUGGGCUUCCAGGAGAUACUGUCUGGCUCGAGGCCGGGAGAGGUGAGAGGUACUUCAGGGGUAGGGGUGAAAUCUUGUAAUCCUUGAAGGACCACCAGUGGCGAAGGCGUCUCACCAGAACGGACCUGACGGCAAGGGACGAAAGCUAGGGGCACGAACCGGAUUAGAUACCCGGGUAGUCCUAGCCGUAAACGAUACUCGCUAGGUGUCGGCCACGGUGCGACCGUGGUCGGUGCCGUAGGGAAGCCGUGAAGCGAGCCACCUGGGAAGUACGGCCGCAAGGCUGAAACUUAAAGGAAUUGGCGGGGGAG
rnacentral:rRNA from 1 species